rnacentral:tRNA from 1 species
GACGGUGUAGCUCAGUGGUCGAGCGCAUGCUUCACAUACAUGAGGUCCUGGGUCCAUCCCCAGUACCUCCU